rnacentral:rRNA from 1 species
CUACGGGGGGCUGCAGUGAGGAAUAUUGCACAAUGGGCGAAAGCCUGAUGCAGCAACGCCGCGUGAGGGACGACGGCCUUCGGGUUGUAAACCUCUUUUAGCAGGGGAGAAGCGAAAGUGACGGUACCUGCAGAAAAAGCACCGGCUAACUACGUGCCAGCAGCCGCGGUAAUACGUAGGGUGCAAGCGUUGUCCGGAAUUAUUGGGCGUAAAGAGCUCGUAGGCGGUUUGUCGCGUCUGCUGUGAAAAUCCGAGGCUCAACCUCGGACCUGCAGUGGGUACGGGCAAACUAGAGUGCGGUAGGGGAGAUUGGAAUUCCUGGUGUAGCGGUGGAAUGCGCAGAUAUCAGGAGGAACACCAAUGGGGAAGGCAGAUCUCUGGGCCGUAACUGACGCUGAGGAGCGAAAGCGUGGGGAGCGAACAGGAUUAGAUACCCCCGUAGUC